rnacentral:rRNA from 1 species
AUUGAACGCUGGCGGCAUGCCUUACACAUGCAAGUCGAACGGCAGCACGGGUGCUUGCACCUGGUGGCGAGUGGCGAACGGGUGAGUAAUACAUCGGAACAUGUCCUGUAGUGGGGGAUAGCCCGGCGAAAGCCGGAUUAAUACCGCAUACGAUCUACGGAUGACAGCGGGGGACCUUCGGGCCUCGCGCGAUAGGGUUGGCCGAUAGCUGAUUAGCUAGUUGGGGGGGUAAAGGCCUACCAAGGCGACGAUCAGUAGCUGGUCUGAGAGGACGACCAGCCACACUGGGACUGAGACACGGCCCAGACUCCUACGGGAGGCAGCAGUGGGGAAUUUUGGACAAUGGGCGAAAGCCUGAUCCAGCAAUGCCGCGUGUGUGAAGAAGGCCUUCGGGUUGUAAAGCACUUUUGUCCGGAAAGAAAUCCUUGGCUCUAAUACAGUCGGGGGAUGACGGUACCGGAAGAAUAAGCACCGGCUAACUACGUG